GACGAACGCUGGCGGCGUGCUUAACACAUGCAAGUCGAACGAUGAACCGAGAGCUUGCUCUUGGGGAUUAGUGGCGAACGGGUGAGUAACACGUGAGUAACCUGCCCUGGACUCUGGGAUAACCCCGAGAAAUCGGAGCUAAUACCGGAUCGGACCUUGCACCGCAUGGUGUGGGGUGGAAAGGUUUUUCGGUUUGGGAUGGACUCGCGGCCUAUCAGCUUGUUGGUGAGGUAAUGGCUCACCAAGGCGUCGACGGGUAGCCGGCCUGAGAGGGUGACCGGCCACACUGGGACUGAGACACGGCCCAGACUCCUACGGGAGGCAGCAGUGGGGAAUAUUGCACAAUGGGCGCAAGCCUGAUGCAGCAACGCCGCGUGCGGGAUGACGGCCUUCGGGUUGUAAACCGCUUUUAGUAAGGAAGAAGGGGAGCUUGCUCCUUGACGGUACUUGCAGAAAAAGGACCGGCUAACUACGUGCCAGCAGCCGCCGUAACAC
rnacentral:rRNA from 1 species